CAGUAGCCACGGGAAUACGGAGGGUGCAAGCGUUAAUCGGAAUUACUGGGCGUAAAGCGCACGCAGGCGGUCUGACAAGUCAGAUUUGAAAUCCCCGGGCUUAACCUGGGAACUGCAUUUGAAACUGUCAGGCUGGAGUCUUGUAGAGGGGGGUGGAAUUCCAGGUGUAGCGGUGAAAUGCGUAGAGAUCUGGAGGAAUACCGGUGGCGAAGGCGGCCCCCUGGACAAAGACUGACGCUCAGGUGCGAAAGCGUGGGGAGCAAACAGGAUUAGAUACCCCUGUAGCCCUGUCUCUUAUACA
rnacentral:rRNA from 1 species